rnacentral:rRNA from 1 species
UGGGGAAUAUUGCACAAUGGGCGAAAGCCUGAUGCAGCAACGCCGCGUGAGGGACGACGGCCUUCGGGUUGUAAACCUCUUUUAGCAAGGAAGAAGCGAAAGUGACGGUACUUGCAGAAAAAGCGCCGGCUAACUACGUGCCAGCAGCCGCGGUAAUACGUAGGGCGCAAGCGUUAUCCGGAAUUAUUGGGCGUAAAGAGCUCGUAGGCGGUUUGUCGCGUCUGCUGUGAAAACCCGAGGCUCAACCUCGGGCCUGCAGUGGGUACGGGCAGACUAGAGUGCGGUAGGGGAGAUUGGAACUCCUGGUGUAGCGGUGGAAUGCGCAGAUAUCAGGAAGAACACCGAUGGCGAAGGCAGAUCUCUGGGCCGUAACUGACGCUGAGGAGCGAAAAGGGUGGGGAGCAAACAGGCUUAGAUACCCUGGUAGUCCACCCCGUAAACGUUGGGAACUAGUUGUGGGGUCCAUUCCACGGAUUCCGUGACGCAGCUAACGCAUUAAGUUCCCCGCCUGGGGAGUACGGCCGCAAGGCUAAAACUCAAAUGAAUUGACGGGGUCAU